rnacentral:siRNA from 1 species
CUUUAWGAGUGUCAUGAUAUGAA